ACUUUGCUUAAACGUUUCACCUAUUCGGUUUUUAAAUUGAGCAUUCCAUUUGUCAAAUGUCUGUCUUGUGAUUUAUGGACUGUUCAACCGCUCGUGAGAUACAGCAAGGCUGAUCUGAGUGUCGUGCUGUCUCUGUACCAGACGCGUCCGUGGUUACCACAGUAACGGAGCUCUAGCUGGUAUGUUUGUUGAUACAAUGUAGCGAGUGAGCUUGCAAAUGAACAAGAUAAAUUACAUUUUAUAUCUCUGACAUAUACUCAGUUGCAAAAUUGUACAUGACCUUUUAUAGGUCUUCAUACAUUGGGUAAACUUUCAGAAGUAAUUCAAAUGUGGCGACCAAAGUAUUUCACUCCAAACUAGGUGUCCCUUCAUAACACCCUUGGCGACUUGUGGUGUCAUAUCUGGGCAAGGUGUACGACCUGACACUAUUGGUGAGUGAGUUUAAAGCGGAUUUUACUUCUGAAGCCUAUUAUUGACUGUGCAGGAAAGGACAUCAGUCACUGGUUUGACCUAAAGACAAAAGACAUUCGGACCCACCUCAACACACUAUCUGACUGUGUGAUGUACUACACCCCUAGGGGGCGCUUUGUGCACGUGCAGCCUCCCUUCCCUAGUACUGACUGGACCAAUGACUUUGGGCAACCCUGGUGGAGGGAUACGUAAUAUGAGGUGGGACUAUUCUGCCAAGACCAGGUGGAUCUGCAUCAUCAACACCCUCACAUCCCAGGAGCAGGGGCAAGAUAUCCUUAUUCGGAUUAGGGAGAAUGUCAUGCAUAGAUCAUAAGAGGCUACAUUUUACAUUUAAGUCAUUUAGCAGACACUCUUAUCCAGAGCGACUUACAGUUAGUGCAUACAUUUUUCA